rnacentral:rRNA from 1 species
UACGGAGGGGGCUAGCGUUGUUCGGAAUUACUGGGCGUAAAGGGCGCGCAGGCGGCUGCUCAAGUCAGGCGUGAAAGGCCUGGGCUCAACCCGGGAAUUGCGCUUGAGACUGGGCUGGCUUGAGUGCGGGAGAGGAUGGUGGAAUUCCCAGUGUAGAGGUGAAAUUCGUAGAUAUUGGGAAGAACACCAGUGGCGAAGGCGACUACCUGGCCUGUUCUUGACGCUGAGGCGCGAAAGCUAGGGGAGCAAACGGG